CCAACGGUCCUUUUAAGGACCACCAAACUUUUCAAAGAGCAAUUUA
rfam:Orchesella cincta Ocin01_Sc7649, whole genome shotgun sequence.